UGCCGCGUGUGUGAAGAAGGCCUUCGGGUUGUAAAGCACUUUUGUCCGGAAAGAAAUGGUUCUGGUUAAUACCUGGGGUCGAUGACGGUACCGGAAGAAUAAGGACCGGCUAACUACGUGCCAGCAGCCGCGGUAAUACGUAGGGUCCAAGCGUUAAUCGGAAUUACUGGGCGUAAAGCGUGCGCAGGCGGUUGUGCAAGACCGAUGUGAAAUCCCCGAGCUUAACUUGGGAAUUGCAUUGGUGACUGCACGGCUUGAGUGGGUCAGAAGGGGGUAGAAUUCCACGUGUAGCAAUGAAAUGCGUAGAGAUGUGGAGGAAUACCGAUGGCGAAAGCAGCCCCCUGGGAUAACACUGACGCUCAUGCACGAAAGCGUGGGGAGCAAACAGGAUUAAAUACCCUGGUUGUCCACGCCCUAAACCAUGUCCACUAAUUGUUGGGGAUUCAUUUCCUUAGUAACGUAGCUUACGCGUGAAGUUGACCGCCUGGGGAGUACGGUCGCAAGAUUAAAACUCAAAGGAAUUGACGGGGACCCGCACAAGCGGUGGAUGAUGUGGAUUAAUUCGAUGCCACGCGAAAAACCUUACCUACCC
rnacentral:rRNA from 1 species